CCUACGGGGGGCAGCAGUGGGGAAUAUUGGACAAUGGGGGGAACCCUGAUCCAGCCAUGCCGCGUGUGUGAAGAAGGCCCUCGGGUUGUAAAGCACUUUCAGUGAGGAAGAACGCCUGGUGGUUAAUACCCAUCAGGAAAGACAUCACUCACAGAAGAAGCACCGGCUAACUCCGUGCCAGCAGCCGCGGUAAUACGGAGGGUGCGAGCGUUAAUCGGAAUUACUGGGCGUAAAGCGCGCGUAGGUGGCUUGAUAAGCCGGUUGUGAAAGCCCCGGGCUCAACCUGGGAACGGCAUCCGGAACUGUCAAGCUAGAGUGCAGGAGAGGAAUGUAGAAUUCCCGGUGUAGCGGUGAAAUGCGUAGAGAUCGGGAGGAAUACCAGUGGCGAAGGCGGCCUUCUGGACUGACACUGACACUGAGGUGCGAAAGCGUGGGUAGCAAACAGGAUUAGAUACCCUAGUAGUC
rnacentral:rRNA from 1 species